CCUACGGGUGGCUGCAGUGGGGAAUAUUGGACAAUGGGGGGAACCCUGAUCCAGCCAUGCCGCGUGUGUGAAGAAGGCCCUCGGGUUGUAAAGCACUUUCAGUGAGGAAGAACGCCUGGUGGUUAAUACCCAUCAGGAAAGACAUCACUCACAGAAGAAGCACCGGCUAACUCCGUGCCAGCAGCCGCGGUAAUACGGAGGGUGCGAGCGUUAAUCGGAAUUACUGGGCGUAAAGCGCGCGUAGGUGGCUUGAUAAGCCGGUUGUGAAAGCCCCGGGCUCAACCUGGGAACGGCAUCCGGAACUGUCAAGCUAGAGUGCAGGAGAGGAAGGGAGAAUUCCCGGUGUAGCGGUGAAAUGCGUAGAGAUCGGGAGGAAUACCAGUGGCGAAGGCGGCCUUCUGGACUGACACUGACACUGAGGUGCGAAAGCGUGGGUAGCAAACAGGAUUAGAUACCCCUGGUAGUC
rnacentral:rRNA from 1 species